CAAAAUUUUUCACCGCGGUAGUUUGAAUUUAAAAAUCACCGGGUGAAAAUUUUGUUU
rnacentral:pre_miRNA from 1 species